AAAUAAUGCUUUAGAGGUUUUUUCUAGAUAUUCAAGCUAGGACAUCAGCAGCCAUGUUUGCUGCCUUUCCCUUAAUCAUAGUUAGAAGAUGUAAUCAGAACUUGAUUUAUUCUGUUGGAGUUUUGGUCCUGAACCUUAUCCUUCCCAUGUGGCUCAGAAAGGGCUGAGGGUAUUACAUAGUUACAGGAUAUUUAUUCUGACAGUUCUGUUCACAGUUUAUUCUGACCACAGGGUUCUUUUCAGUGUCAUGUCAACACAAUUCUUGACUGCCUUUCUAAGCCUCAGCCUAUCUUCAUAGGCUUGGUAAUGGUGAACUGAAAGCCAUCCACAAAGAAAGACCACUGUCUUCAAGAAAGCUAGUACAUCUCUGCCCAUUAGCCUCAUUACUCCUAUUCCUUUUUCCCUUCCUCACGAGCUCUUACACUAUUAAGACCUUUUUUUUCUCCUAGUGCAUCUCAUUAUUCCCUUUUUUCAACCCUUCUGUCUAUCCUGUCUAUUCGGUUCCCCUCUUCCACCUCACUCUUAGCAGCUCACUUCAUGAGCAGCUCAAGGAAGAGGGCUAAAAUGGAGUUUUUUCUACAGAAACUGGAGUUUUAUAAGAGAGUUCUGCUUUGACUCCUCUGAAAUGAGAUCUAGGCUGCCAGCAGUGAAGUAACUCAUUUUACAAAUCCUGUUGGAGCCCCAUCUGUUUUGGUUGAACUUUGUAUUAUUUUGUCCCAUCUAACACCCAUAAACACUAAUUAAAUAUAUUAUAAA